AUUGAACGCUGGCGGCAGGCCUAACACAUGCAAGUCGAGCGGAUGAAGGGAGCUUGCUCCUGGAUUCAGCGGCGGACGGGUGAGUAAUGCCUAGGAAUCUGCCUGGUAGUGGGGGAUAACGUCCGGAAACGGGCGCUAAUACCGCAUACGUCCUGAGGGAGAAAGUGGGGGAUCUUCGGACCUCACGCUAUCAGAUGAGCCUAGGUCGGAUUAGCUAGUUGGUGGGGUAAAGGCCUACCAAGGCGACGAUCCGUAACUGGUCUGAGAGGAUGAUCAGUCACACUGGAACUGAGACACGGUCCAGAGUCCUACGGGAGGCAGCAGUGGGGAAUAUUGGACAAUGGGCGAAAGCCUGAUCCAGCCAUGGCGCGUGUGUGAAGAAAGUCUUCGGAUUGGAAAGCACUUUAAGUUGGGGGGAAGGGCAGUAAGUUAAUACCUUGCUGUUUUGACGUUACCAACAGAAUAAGCACCGGCUAACUUCGUG
rnacentral:rRNA from 1 species